ensembl:lncRNA suppressor APC domain-containing protein 1-like
UCUCACAAGGCUUCAUAUUUCUCUGUUUCUUGCUUUCUCUCUCCUGGUUAUUCAUUUUGUGUUAUGUCUUGAGUUGCCAGCAUUUGUACACAUGGCAUGCGAUGGCUAUUACACUGUCAUCAUCAUCCCUCUCCAGAACAGCCUGUACAGCCCUGACGCACUGCACCGCUUCCACUGGCUAAAGAGACGUAGAGAUCUGGAAAGACAAAAAGACAUCCUGUGGGCUGGACUGCAGGUUGUGGAACAAACCAAGCUGUGGUACCAGAAUCGCCUGAAGCUGAAUUUACAAAGGCAAGUUAGCUUCAGCACAGGUGACUUGGAUGAAGAGGGCAGGUGGUCCUGCACUGUGCGGUCUUGUAUGCAGCGCGUGAACGGGAGUCUGGGUAGUUUGAUGAGUGACUCCUGUGUCUGGAACAAUCUGACCCCAGAAGAGAGUGGAGGUUCGGACUGGGACCUCCGGUGGAGCAAUGCCACACUGGCCAAGGAAGUUAAUCGGAAAAAUCAACAGAUUUCCAUAUUGGAGCUUGAGAAGGCACAACUUCUUCAGCAGCUGUUGUCUUACAGCACACCUUAUUGAUGACAUACAUCCACAUGUUUUCAACUCUAAUUACAAGAGGGUUUCAUUCAAAUCAUGCAGCAAACUGUAAAUGUUAAAACAGCUUUGAAAAUACUGAAUGUUAAAAUUAAUUUAAGCUCUGAUAUACACUUUGUCCACCCUGGCUUCCAUUAUUUAACAGAAAGGGACUUAUAGUAAAAUGUUCAAUAGUUGUUUUUUUCUUAAAAUAUUUGGUGGUACUGUACACA